GAAAUGUCACGUGGUGGGAAACACCCAAGACGAGCCUUUAAUACUUUAAUACAGCUAAACACAGAGGCAUUACAGCACAGCUGAACCCUUUUCCUGGAAACAUGAGAAGAUAUAAAUCACAGCAGAUCUUCUUUUUUGAAAACAUGAGCAAUGAACAGCAGCAAAACACUCUGUUCAAGCUGAAACCUCAUUGUGUGAGCAGAUCACCUGCAGACCCGUACAACUGUGAGGAUUCCCAGUAUCUUUCAGUGCCCUCAGUCAGUCAGUGGCAGGCAAACUUGAGGAAAAUGUCUAUGGAAAAUGCCGUAGAAUUCCACCAUGGUCCCAAUGAAUGGUCGUAAAGUUCUCUGAAGAACCAGUCAACCAGUCAACCAGUGACCAAAGAUACAGGUUAAAAGAAGAGAAAGAAGCACUGCCAAAAUUAUUAUUAUUAUUAUUAUUAUUAUUAUUAUUAUUAUUAUUAUUAUUGUAAUUCUCUGUAAUACUGGAGUACAUUGUACUACUUUUGUUGUUUAUGCUUUUUUGGCUGCUGCUAAAGGAACUUAUCCAAACCUUGACAUCAUUAUGUUUACUACCAAUUAAAUACAUUGCGUCAAUCAAUGCAGUGCAUUUUGAUUCAUAAUUUGGGUCAAUUAUAAUGACGAUCGUUCUUACCUUACAUUCAUACCGGAAAUAAAUGAAACAUAUUUUAAACGAUUGUAUUGUAUGUCAUAAAGCUGUAUCAACUUGAUCUCACCUAUGUUAAUAAGCCAGUUUAUUAUUUAAUGUUUUUUACUGUUACCAUCUCAUCAUUUUUCUGCAUCUCUGUUUUUCCUAUUUCUGUUUUACUGGAAUGGUUUAUACCUCACAGCUACUAUAAAAGGACUAUUUUUUACAUUUUGAUUUUUUACUGCAUUCUAAUACAUGUCUGUAUUUUUUUGUACCAAGUUGAUUGAGUUGAUCCUUAAUUAAAGAAUAUAAUUUAAAAAGGGGUUUCGAGCAGUUUCUCAUUCCACCAGGCAGCAUUUCCACAUAUGUGUUUGAGAGAUUAAAUAAAGUUAUAGUUCAUGCUUGUUCAUGAUUGCAAACAAAUUAUGAAACAGGGUCAGGGACCUAGUGUAACAAUUCAGUUUCUUUCCAGUCAAUUCAAUUAUUAAAACAAAUAAAAUACUACAGAACAUUUUCAUUGUAACAAAAGCUUCUGGAAAUGUAAUUUACAUGAAAGCUAUUAGAGCAGUUUUUUUUAGUUUUUUCAUCAGCUGCCUUAAAAGUACACAAAUUUCACUAACAAGCCUUCCUACACCAUCAUAGAAGAUUCUUCAAAUCUUCAAUUAAAUAAUAGUAAAAGUAAAAUUAUUUCUGCCUCAUAGGUUGGAUAAGCAUUACUAUGCAUUAUAGUCCUAACUUAUAAGAAACAAAAUCCAAGCAGAUUUUCUUU